CCUACGGGAGGCAGCAGUGGGGAAUAUUGGGCAAUGGGCGCAAGCCUGACCCAGCAACGCCGCGUGAAGGAAGAAGGCUUUCGGGUUGUAAACUUCUUUUCUCAGGGACGAAGCAAGUGACGGUACCUGAGGAAUAAGCCACGGCUAACUACGUGCCAGCAGCCGCGGUAAUACGUAGGUGGCAAGCGUUAUCCGGAUUUACUGGGGGUAAAGGGCGUGUAGGCGGGAAAGCAAGUAAGAUGUGAAAACCAUGGGCUCAACCUGUGACCAGCAUUUGAAACUGUUUUUCUUGAGUACUGGGGGGGAAGAGGGAAUUCCAGGGGUAGCGGGGAA
rnacentral:rRNA from 1 species